ensembl:lncRNA
UCCAAUUAUAAUAUUUCCAUUUUGUAUUUUCCAUAAUAAAAUUUCACAAUAAUACAGAACUUAACCUUAAAAUGUACAGUUUUAUAAAUUAGAGGGAGAAAAACAAUCCUAAUGUAUAUGCAUGAAACCCUCAGGCAAUUGCAGGAUUAAAAAAAAAAGUUUCUAUGUACUGUAUUUUUCAAGAGAACAUUAAGCAGCUCUGAUGCCAUUUCAUUAAAAACAGUGUUUUAAAAGUUUGCCUCUGAAUAUACAUUUCAGGUGAAAUGUACCAUAUACCUGCUUCCUCCUGAAUACCUGCUUCCUCCUGUUACAAUUUCAGUCUAUUCUGUCUAAAUAACAAAUAUCUAAAUAAUGCAAAUUCUGAUCUGAAACUCAAUCUGUAAUAUCCUCCCUCAAACCUCCCCCAAAGCACCAACGCUCAGGUUGGAUGAACUACUCUUCAUGGUCGUAUUAGACAACCGUGGUGUUUUAAAUCUUUUCAGUGUAGCUAACCCAGAGCUGUUUCGGUUACCCUCUGUACCCACCCUCUAAAUGGGCAACCUUGCCUUGGGGCUGAGCCACCGUUUGGAGUUGGGCCGACUGCUGGAGUGGAAUGAUAUCCUGCCGCAGCCUCCCGCAGAGCCAAACCUACAGCUGCUAGUGUCAGGCGAGCCCCCUCGGUUCCCACAUUCCUAGCGGCAUGCUUUAGUCUGGACGGAGGUAAUCCAGCACCAUGAAUCCGGUUGCAACAUUCCAGCAGCUCAAAUUCUACAUUUUGAAGAUUUCUGGAAAUCCAGCCAGUUUAAGUUGUGAAAACUACAAGUUUUGAACAUUUUUGAAUUGCAUGGGGAUUAAAGGCUGUGUUCAAUCUGUAUGUCAAAAGUUCAACAUUAUAGCCUGAUUGAAAUGUAAUAGCACUGAUUAAAUAUGUUGCUCUAUCAGAAAUUACAGUAAAACCUAGAACGCCGUUUGCACAUCUCAGCUCCAGUCAGAUACAAGGAGCCAAGGGCUUAAUUACAAAGCCAAGAUUGCCUCUAUUCUAACAUUCUCUCUAUAGUCUGCAUUGAUUGUGUAAAUCAAAACUCACUGGCAUGAAAAAAGGCCUAGCUCUUACACUGUCAGAUGAGGAAUGGAAGGACAUUCUUUAGAGAAUACGCUCAUCCUCCGUCCAUGCCAGACAUAGUGUCAUUCAAUUUAAAAGUGUAGAUGAGAUACCAUAUACUAAGAUGUAGGCUGACUUGGACCAUACUUGCACAUUAUCAGAUGUUUUUCAGAAUGUUUUUAAGCUUUUUCCCUUUGUGGCCUCUUAGGUCAAAACAACCAGAUUUAAUAAAUCAAAAUAGUAGUAGCCUCCCCCGGAUAGGGCCACAGUGUCACUGGACCCCCCUGUCUCAGCCCCAAGGUUUUACACUGCUAUAUUAUUGUUGGGGGGAGUAGGGUCAGAUCUCCCAAUCCACUGUAAAUCCUUGUAAACCUAAGGAAUGCACUCUCAAAAUUUCCCUUGUCUCCUGCUCCAUUUAAGCUUAGGGAGAACAUGAGGUUUUAGGCCAUACCUCCCGAAUGUCCCUGGUUCUAAUCCCCCCGACUGCCAAGGUGAGAGCUACGUUUUUCUUAACUUAUGUCCCUGAGCAAUUAGCCCUAAUUGGUCCUCCAUCCCUGUAAAAUUCCCUCCAGGUUGUUUCUGUAAAUAUGAAUGGGUUCUUAAUCAACUCGCUGGGUUAAAUAAAUAAAAUACAAUUCCAG